rnacentral:lncRNA from 1 species
AAACAAAUAAAAAGUUAAAGUUAAAAUUAAAUUACUUCAACUAGGUUUAAACAUUAAAAUUUGUGUACUUGGUGCUCAAAGUAAUUAUUUCUCAUUCUACAAUUUAAAAAUUAAUAUUUGAUUAAAAUAUAAUCACCUUUUAUUCUAUUUUUGAACUUUCAGCCGAGAGAAGAGUUGACUUCCAAAAUUAAAAAAAAAAAAACAAAAGACAAAACAAGAAACUAUUUAUUAAUCUAUGUAUUUAUUGAACAAUACUAACAUCACAUCCUUUCAUUACUAUCGCAAUAAAUAUCUGAAUUGGUGUGUUAUCCUCUAUGCUUUUAAAUAAUCUUUAAAUUAGAUCAAGGAUUCCUAUUUACUGAUAUUCUUUAGUUAUAAGAAUUUCAAGCAAAAAUAAAUAAAUGAAUAGAUACAUAAAUAAAUGAUAAAUAGAUGAAUAAAUAAGUAGAGUAAGAAAACUUUCUAAGAUUUGUCUUACCAGUAGUGAGACCUCAGAUUUUUCUCAGAUUUUCUUUUGUUUCAUAGUUUUUAACUAGGAGAAAAGUAGGUGGAAGUUUACUAAUUAUACUAAUUUUCAUGAGCCCUAGGGUCUUUUUGUGCUUUUUGUAUUUUUGGUUUUUGUUUUUGAAUAGUUGUGAAUUUAUGGUAAGGCAAGCAAUUCUGAAGUUGUACUGAAAUCAUCUUCAUUUUUUUGUAUUUUGCAGAAUUUAGAUUAUGACAGCGGUUUAGCAUUCUAUGAAUUUUUAAAAAAAAAACAAAAGAUUUUUAGGUAGACGGACAGACUGACAGACAGACAGACAGACAGAUAGAGAGAGAGAGAGAGAGAGAGAGAGAGAGAGAGAGAGAGAGAGAAAGAGAGAGAGGUAGAGAGAGAAACAGACAGCCAGAUAACAGAGAUAGAUAGAUAUAAAUAGAGAAAUGAUAGAAAGAUUGAUAAACAGAUCAACAGAGAAGUGGGUAGACCAAAAUAGUGUAUUACGUGAUAGAAUUAACAAGAUCCAAAACAAAAAUCAGAUAGUGUAUAUAAUACCAGUUACUUUUAUACAAAUGUAUCUAUUAUUAUUGUUGUUGUUGCUGCUGUUUAUGGUCUUCUGCUAUUUCUCUAAUUCACUCGCUCUUCUUUUGAUUGCUUGCUACUUUCCUUCCUGUUGAAAUUAUUCUUUUUCUUUUUUUUUUUACUGUUUCUUCCUCAAAACAAUCUUUCAUUUGGAAAAAUCCAAGUGUUAUAAAAGCAGUAAUUUUAUGAAAGCAACGAGAGAUGAGUGUGGAAGCACCAUUCCAUUUCAGUGGAACUGUUGAGCAGAUGACAGCCUGUCAUCACUGUGGUGCCACGCAAGUUUGUUCAGUUCAUAUACACAACGCAUGAUAUAUAUAUUUUUUUCUUUGCUUUUUAUCUUUUCUUAACCGUGACAGAGGCAAUCAAUAGGCAUCAAAGAAGAAAGAAAACAAAGAAAGCAUAAUGGAUCACUUACUUCUUCUUAAGUGACAAUAGUGUCGUUGGGGAUAUCAGUGGUAAAGGACGGGUGGUGUUACACUGACUGGCAUUGUUGCUUUUGUUAGUUGCUGUUUGUAGUUGUGAUGGCUGGGGUUGCUGUCAUUUGUGAGGUUGCAUGCUUAGAUAUUUUCAUUGGAUUUUCUGUUUAUAAACUAAUAUUUUUAAUGUAUAAACGUGCCUGCUUGUGCAUGCGUGUAUAUGAGUGUCUGUACGUGUAAUAGCAAAUAUGCUUGCAUACACUCUUUUCUUUGUAAUUUAGUGUCUAUGUAUGUGUGUGCGUAUGCAUGUGGAUUUAUCUAUCUACCUGUCUGUCUAUUUAUCUAUCUAUCUCUUUAUCUAUCUGUCUAUCUAUCUAUCUGUCUACAUAUAUAUAUGUGUGUGUGUGUGUGCGUGUUAUGUAUGCAUUAAUGAGUAUGUAUGUAUGUAUGUAUGUAAGUGGAUUUGAUGGACAGACAGUGAAAGAAGCCAAUUAUAUAUACAUACAUAUACAAAUACAUAUAUAUAUAUAUAUAUAUAUAUAUAUAUAUGUAUGUAUACAUACAUACAUGCAUACAUACAUAUAUACAUACAUACAUACAUACAUACAUACAUACAUAUAUAUAUAUAUAUAUAUAUAUAUAUAUAUAUAUAGAGAGAGAGAGAGAGAGAGAGAGAUAGAUAGAUAGAUAUAGAUAUAUACAUAUAUAUCUUUUUUUUUCUUUGUAGUUUCAGCUCAGAGCUGUGGCCAUGCUGAUGCACUGCUAUGUAUAUAUAUAUAUAUAUAUAUAUAUAAAGGGAAAGUUUAUGAAAAUAAACAAAAGACGAAGGCAGGUGGAGUACAAACAAACAAAAGUAUUAGUAUAGCACUCAGGAAUAGAAAAAGUCUUUUACGUUUCGAGCCUAUGCUCUUCGACAGAAAGAUACAUAGAAAAAAACAAGGUGAGAAAAACACACAUAUAUACAUGUGUCUGUGAGUGAAUGUGUGUGUGUGUGUGUGUGUGCACGCGCAUGUGUGUGUGUGUGUGUGAGUGUAUGCAUAUUUGUAUCUGUGCUUAUCCCCACCACCACUUGACAUCCGGUAGUGGUGUGUUUACAUCCUCAUAACUUAGCAGUUUGGCAAAAUUGAUAGAUUGAGUAGUAGGCUUACAAAAAAAAUUUUUGUAAUAAGUGCUGAGGUUAAUUAAUUAAACUAAAAAUUCUUCAAGAUGGUGCUGUAGCAUGACCACAGUCUAAUGACUGAAACAAGUAAAAGAUGAAAGACAUAUGUGUGACUCAUGCAAACAUGAAAUGUAGACAUUAAAUGAGGAUUAUGGCAUAAUGAUGACGACAACGACGACGAUGAUGAUGAUGAUGAUGAUGAUGGUGCUGGUGGUGGUGAUGGUAUAUAUAUUUUAUUGUAUGCGUGUAUAUAUGUGUAUGUAUGUAUGUUUUAGUGUAUGUGUUUGCAUAACUAAUGUCUGCACAUGCAUGAAUGUAGGUCUCAGUGUAUAUGUGUAUAUAUGCAUGUAUAUAUUCUUUUAUUCUUUUAUUUUUUUCAGUCAUUUGACUGUGGCCAUGCUGGAGCACCACCUUUAGUUGAACAAAUCAACCCCAGCGCUUAUUCUUUGUAAGCCUAGUACUUAUUCUAUCAGUCUCUUUUGCCAAAUCACUAAGUUACAGGGACAUAAACACACCAACAUCAGUUGUCAAGCGAUGUUGAGGGGACAAACACAGACACACAAACAUACACACACACACACACACACACACACACACACACACAUCAAAUUCGAUGACAGCACCGCAUGACUGGCAUCCGUGCUAGUGGAGCGUUAAGAGCACCAUCCGAGCAUGAUCGUUGCCAGGGUUGCUGACUGGCUCCCAUGCCGGUGGCACAUAAAAAGCACCAUUCGACCAUGAUCAUUACCAGCAUUGUCUUACUGGCACUUGUGCCGGUGGUACGUGAAAAACAAUAUUCAAGUGAGGGCGUUGCCAGUGCCGCUGCACUGGCUCCUGUGCAGGUGACAUGUAAAAACACCAUUUGAGUGUAGCCGUUACCAGUACUGCCUGACUGGCUCUUGUGCUGGUGGGACAUAAAAGCACCCACUACACUCUCAGAGUGGUUGGCGUUAAGAAGGGCAUCCAGCUGUAGAAAUUUUGCCAGAUCAGAUUGGAGCCUGGUGCAGCUAUCUGGCUCACCAGUCCCCAAUCAAACUGUCCAACUCAACCCAUGCCAGCAUGGAAAGCAGAUGUUAAACGAUGAGGAUGAUGAUGAUAUAUAUAUAUAUAUAUAUAUAUAUAUAUAUAUAUAUAUAUAUAUAUAUGACAGUCUUAUUUCAAUUUCUGUCUACCAAAUCCACUCAGAAGGCUUUAGUCAGCCUGAGGCUAUAGUAAAAGACACUUGCUCAAUGUGCCAUGCAGUGGGACUUAACUUGGAACCAUGUGGUUGAUAAGCAAGUUACUUACCACACACCCACUUCUGUGCAUAAAUGUGUGUUUAAACUGUAUGUAGAUAUACAUGUAUUUAAAUGUGUUCAUGAAUGUGUGUUUUUUAGUGUAUGUCUGUGUGUGUAUAUAUGUAUAAAUGCAUAUAUAUAUAUAUAUAUAUAUAUACAUAUAUGUAUAUAUGUAUGCGUAUAUGCAUAACUCAUGCCUCUAUGCAUCCAAAUGUACAGGUAUUUGUGUGCAUGUGUGUGUGUGUGUGCAUACCACUGUCCAUGUAUCUGUGAGUAUAGGGAUGUAGGUGUCUGUACAUGAAUGUAUAUCUGAAUCUGUAUCUAUGUGUAUGUAUUUGUGUUUACAUUUGUGUGUGUUUGUGUGCAUGUGUAUAAGUUAAUAUCUAAUGGCUAAAAUAGGGUGAUGAGUCUGGCAGAAUCGUUACCACGCUGAGGAAAAUACUUAGUAACAUUUUGUCCAUCUACACAUUCUGAGUUCAAAUUACCCCAAGACUAACUUUGUCUUUCAUCCUUUCAGAGUUGAUAAAAUAAACACCGGUUGAGUACCAGGGUUGAUGUAAUUGACUCACCACCACCCCUGAAAUUACUGGCUUUUCCAAAAUAUUUUAAGCCAAUAUCUAAUGGUUAAAAUAAGAAGUAACAUAAAAAACUUAUCACAUUCAGUUCGAUAGACAGACAGACAGAUAGACAGAUAGAAAGACAGAAAGAUAGACAGACAGACAGACAGACAGACAGAUAGAUAGAUAGAUAUGUUUCUUUAUUAGCUACACAGGGCUGCACACAGAUUACAAAGUAGAGCUUUUCUUUUUGAGGGAAAGAAAAAAAAAGUGGGGUAGGUCUUUGAUCAAAAGGGAUCGUAAAAGGGAAAGAAGAAGAAGAAAAAAAAUGGAAAAGAAACAAAGGAAAAAAAACGAUCAAUAGGGAUCGUGUAUCACAGUGUCAUGAUGUAAGGUGUAAAGGGGGAAGCAGAUAAGGUUUAUCCGUGGGAAGAAAAGCCUACGGAAAAGACCCCGGUAACCCCGGUCAAUAUUGUUACAUGUUACUACAUUUGUUUGCAAGUAGGUAACCCUCUGUUUUAAAUUUCCGGGUUCAUAGGAUUAUGCUCAAGGUGGCUUCGUCAUUCAUACGUGCCAUCCUUGCUACAUUCACCCAUCUUUUUUAAAACAUUCGCUAGACAAAACUUGCCUCUCUACUCUCACUUUCCUUUUCAAGUGAUACUUGAAGAAGUUAAUGAGAGAUUGACCAGAGAGGAAAGUGUUUGUCUUCAAUCCUUUCAGACGCGUCCACCAGAUACAUUCUUUCACCAUAGCCACAAGGAUGAUGAAAAUAGCUCUUCCUUCCCGUUUGAAGGAAGGAGGCGUGACAAUAUUGACAAUAGACUCGGCUGAUAAACUGACUCAUCCCACACAUGACAGCAGUUGUUCGACAUAGGCCCAUAGGUUGGAAAUUGUUGGACACUGCACGAGUGCGUGCAAAACGGUUUCGUCACUCUGACCACAUCUCAGGCAGGUCGGUACCAUGUUUCUCAAGCCGUGCCUGUAGAGCUUAUCCCAAAUGGGUAGUGCUUCUCGGUAGCACUGCCAGGCCAGGGAUCUCUGGAAGUUGUCCAUGGGCCUGAUAGAUAGAUAGAUAGAUAGAUAGAUAGAUAGAUAGAUAGAUAGAUAGAUAGAUAGAUAGAUAGAUAGAUAGAUAGAUAGAUUGAUAGAUAGAUAGAUAGAUAGAUAGAUAGAUAGAUAGAUAGAUAGACAGACAAACAGACAGACAGACAGGCAGAGAGAUAGACAGACAGACAGAUAGAUAGAUAGAUAGAUAGAUAGAUAGAUAGAUAGAUAGAUAGAUAGACAGAUAGAUAGAUAGAUAGAUAGAUAAAUAGACAGACAGACAAACAGAUAGAUAGACAUACAGACUAACGGCUAGAUAGAUAGACAGACAGACAGACAGACAGACUGACAGACAGACAGACAGACAGACAGAUAGAUAGAUCGAUUGAUAGAUAGAUAGAUAGAUAGAUAGAUAGAUAGAUAGAUAGAUAGAUAGAUAGGUCGAUAGAUAGACAGACAGAUAGAUAGAUAUGCAUAUGACAUGUACGCAUACAUAUAUGUGUGUGUAUGCAUGUGUGUGUAUACACACACAGAAUAUUUUUUAAAUUUUAACCUUUUUCAAAUUCACACCUGCCAGAAAGAUGUGAGCAAGAAGGAGGUUCCAGAGCCCUCAAUGUUCUGGAGAUAAAGGAUUAAAUAUAAUGGAUAAUGUGAAACUGGGGGAGUUAGACACAACAAGGGUAAUGAUAAGAAGGGUCAGAGGUGAGAUGAAUAGAUCAGGUGUACAUAGGUAGAGGAGGCAUAAAACUGCUGAGUUCAGAGGAAGAUGGGCCAUUACAGUGGCAAUAAGAAAGCAGAGGGAAGAAAUAACAUGCUUGUGGGCCAGAUACAGAAUAUCACUGAGUGAUAUUAUGUCAGUCAACUAAUCUUUCUCCAAAUGUUAUCUAUGAGGUCUGUGUGAGUAACAGGCAGUGCCAUUCCAGGUGUGGAUCUCAUUUGAACUUUGUAAAGCAUCAGCUAUUGUUAGAGACUGAAGUAUUUUCUGGUUCCUAAAGUUGGAGAGCUAGUUUUUGUGACACAAUCCUGACUGUGUUUAGACAUACUUUCACAACAGAUUUUCAAUGACUGUGAAGUCUAUUCUUUGUGUAUUUUAUGAAAGUCACAAAGAAACAGAAGGAAUAUUGUUUUAAAUGCCAGAUUUGAAACAAAAAAAAUUCUGAGAGAUUUCAUGGUUGUUUUUUUUUUUUAUAUUCUGUUGGUCUAUGUUUUGAUUUUCAGCUUGCAUUUUGCUUUUAAUAAAGCUUCUGUAUUUAUUCUUCUUAUUUCUUUAGUAUUCUAUAUAAAACUGUGGUGCUGCCAACUAAUGUCUUUCUGUCCAAUUUAAUUUUGUGCGCUAUAUGAAAGUUGUAUCAAAGGAGGACAUAGAUAUUUUAUUAAUUGAUAUAGGUUUUCUCAAAUUCGACACAUUGGUAAAGUAAUUCUUCUUUUAUAGAAAAUUAUUCCUCAAGUUCUUCAUUGUGGGCAAAUAGUGUGUUCUAAACAGAAGCAGUGUGCUGUACUUAGACCUUGAUGAAGAAGGAGUACAAGUUAUCCAAUAUCCACAGAAGGUUUCAAGUAACUUUUGGAAAUAACACCAUUGACAAAAAAAAUGUUCUCAAAUGGAUGAAGUUUAAAUAAGGAGAAACUAGCAUUGAAGAUAAACCAUGCUAUGGGAGGGCUAUCAACCCCAACAGUUGGCACAAAACUACCAGUAGGUGGACAAACUGAUUGGUGCAUACAGAUGAGUAACAAAUUAUAAGCUUGCUGCACAACUGGACUAUGAUCACAAAGCAUAACAGAAGAUGGUGGAAUAUUUUGGGUGCUAGAAAGUGUGUGCCAGGUUGGUACCUGGGCAGCUGACAACCAAUUUGAAAGAAAGAACAUUAGAAGUCUACUCUCAUCUAUUGGAAGCAUUUGGAGCCUAUGAAGACACAUUUUCCCUAAUUAAAUGUUAGUAGAUGAAAUGUAGGCAUAUCUUUAUCACUUAAAAAUGUAGGCUUAAUCCAUGGAAUAUAUUACACCUUUUCUCUAAGGUGUUAAAAAUUCAAAAGACAAUGAUUUCCACAGAAAGUUAUGGUGACUUGUUUUGAAGAUGACAAAGGUGUAAUUCUUCUUGAUUUUCUGGAAAGUGGCUGUAUCAUGAACAGUAAACAGUAAAAUUGAGACACAAAAAGCUUAGAGAAGCUAUAAGGUGGAAGAGACCAAAAAAGAAUUUGAAGAUGAUCCACAUUUAUCAUGAAAAUGAUGAUCACACAUCUUUGGCAACAAAUCAGGCAAUCAGCAAAUUAUGUUGAUCACUGAUCUGCCAUCUAUUCUACAAUCUGGAUCUGACAUCCUCUUGCUACCACCUGUACAAUCCAAUGAAGGACCAUCUUCAAAAACAACUGGAAAGAAGUUAGUGCAACAGUGCAUACAUGAAUAUUUUUACACUAAAUUAAUUGCAGUAGUCAUUGUUAUUUCUCAUUUUAUUGACUGCAUCUAUAUAGAUGGCAUGUAUGGCUCUCACAAGCCAUUUGUCUACCUGUGCCUUUCUCAGUCAUCAUCAGAUCUCAAAGCAAGAGAUCUUGUUAAAGGCUUUUAACAAGAAUACUAAGUACAGCAGCUUACUUUUAGCUAAGUAACUCUCCUGCAGUUAUUUCGCUAACAUGAGGUACUCACUACCCUAGCUACCUUCUAGAUUGUUGUCUCUGAAAAGAAUAGCAAUCAAUAAGUAGUUAUUGUAGGUCUUGCAGCGAUAAAAAAUGUUCUGGUUGUUGAAUGAAAAAUCAUUAUCAGCCUCUUGACAUUACUGUAUUAAGUGCUAGGACUCAUAGGAUCAGUUACUUGUUUUCUUUGGUUUAUACUUGAAUGACAUUCCUCCUGUAUAGGAUGCUAGUCCCUCACAUAGUUAUUUAUUUACAGCUGAGUGAACUGGAGCAAUGUGAAAUGAAGCGCUUUGCUCAAAAACAGACUGAGGCAGGUGAAAGCUAGCAAGCUGAAUCUUCAAAAACACUGUCACCCCUCUAUAAGUAUGAUAGAUAUAUUUCUUUUCCUUUCUAGUUUCAGCUGAAGAGCCACAGCCAUGCUAGGGCAC